AGUGGGGAAUAUUGGACAAUGGGGGAAACCCUGAUCCAGCCAUGCCGCGUGGGUGAAGAAGGCCUUAGGGUUGUAAAGCCCUUUCAGUCGUGACGAUGAUGACGGUAGCGACAGAAGAAGCCCCGGCUAACUCCGUGCCAGCAGCCGCGGUAAUACGGAGGGGGCAAGCGUUGUUCGGAAUUACUGGGCGUAAAGCGCACGCAGG
rnacentral:rRNA from 14 species